AUGUCUGACUCUGGGGGUUGGUGCUCAUCUCCAUUUCUAAGCCCAAGAGCCAGUGUUGUCCAUAGACACCUCCAAGGUCAUGUGGCCGGCAUGACUACAUGGAGUGCCAUUACCUUCCCAGAAACACCCAGAAAAUGGGAAUUCCAGACAGGAAACAAUCAGGGCCAGCUAAUACCUCCCAACAAAGGAUUCCCCCAGGUAGGAAGCAGCCAGGCUUUGAAGCUGCAAGGCUAUUCAAUGCUAAUCAAGGUGACCAAUUGCAACAUUCACACUUGCCUCCCACAGACAAGAGUUCUUUCUCCCACCCUGGACCUUCCACAGAUAUAUAAACCCCACUUGCCUAGCUUCGCACAGACGUCAAAACCUCUAUGUCUGCCACAGAUGUGGGUGAAACGUCAGGAGAGAAUGCUUCUGGCACAUGGCCAUAGAGCCCGGAAUACAUACCACAACAGUGUGAUCCCGGCCAUGAAAGCUUUCGACAACACAACCACAGUAUCCAUUCAAGUUCAUGUAGCGUGGUAUGGACUGGAGACCUGUAUUGGGGGGAGGGAGGGUGCGAAGCUAGGCAAGUGGGGUUUAUAUAUCUGUGGAAGGUCCAGGGUGGGAGAAAGAACUCUUGUCUGUGGGAGGCAAGUGUGAAUGUUGCAAUUGGUCACCUUGAUUAGCAUUGAAUAGCCUUGCAGCUUCAAAGCCUGGCUGCUUCCUACCUGGGGGAAUCCUUUGUUGGGAGGUAUUAGCUGGCCCUGAUUGUUUCCUGUCUGGAAUUCCCAUUUUCUGGGUGUUGUUCUUUUACUGUCCUGAUUUUAGCUUUUCUGUAGCUAAAAAUGCAUAUAAAAUUGAUUCUAUAGGGAGGAUAAAUGAUUGGAUUUCAACUCCUACAGCUUAGCUUUCUCUGCCAAUAAUGGUACUAUACCAAACUAAACCUCCCAAGAUUCUGUAGCAGUGAGCCAUCUUGGAUAUUGUAAGGGAUUUUAUUAUUAUUAUUAUUAUUAUUAUUAUUAUUAUUAUUAUUAUUAUUAUUAUUAUUAUUAGACCUUGCUCCCAGGAAGGUGCCUUCGC
rnacentral:lncRNA from 1 species